GCCUGGCUAGCUCAGUUGAUGGAGCAUCAGACUUUUAGUCUGAGGGUCCAGUGUUCACAUCCCUGGUCAGGCA
rfam:Chelonia mydas contig184354, whole genome shotgun sequence.